UAAUAAGUGUUUUAUGGCACUUUUUAAAUCCAUAUCCACCUUGUGUGCAAUGUCAGUCGAUCUUCUUCAUGGAGAUCGACCAAACAUCAACCUUUAUCUUUUAACUCUUUGUCUGAAAAAUAUUAUGAAUAAACAAUUCCAAAUA
rnacentral:misc_RNA from 1 species